rnacentral:rRNA from 1 species
UACGUAGGGUGCAAGCGUUGUCCGGAAUUAUUGGGCGUAAAGAGCUGUAGGCGGUUUGUCGCGUCUGCUGUGAAAUUUCGGGGCUCAACCCCGAACUUGCAGUGGGUACGGGCAGACUAGAGUGUGGUAGGGGAGACUGGAAUUCCUGGUGUAGCGGUGAAAUGCGCAGAUAUCUGGAGGAACACCGGUGGCGAAGGCGGCGCUCUGGGCCGGAACUGACGCUGAGGAGCGAAAGCGUGGGUAGCAAACAGG